AUUGAACGCUGGCGGCACGCCUAACACAUGCAAGUCGAGCGGCAGCGUGAUUAGUAGCAAUACUAGUUGACGGCGAGCGGCGGACGGGUGAGUAAGACGUAGGGACCUGACACUCAGAGGGGGAUAACCAAGGGAAACUUUGGCUAAUACCGCGUAAACCCGGGAGAGGGAAGUUGCCUUGAAAGAGGUGACGCUGAAAGAGGGGCCUGCGACUGAUUAGCUAGUUGGUGAGGUAAAGGCUUACCAAGGCGAAGAUCGGUAGCUGGUCUGAGAGGACGACCAGCCACACUGGGACUGAGACACGGCCCAGACUCCUACGGGAGGCAGCAGUGGGGAAUCUUGGGCAAUGGGGGAACCCUGAUCCAGCGAUGCCGCGUGGGUGAAGAAGGCUUUCGGGUUGUAAAGCCCUUUAGGUUAGGAAGAAGUGUAUUGGUGGAGAAUACUGAUACAUUGACGGUACUAACAGAAUAAGCACCGGCAAACUCUGUGCCAGCCGCCGCGGUAA
rnacentral:rRNA from 1 species